rnacentral:rRNA from 1 species
AUUGAACGCUGGCGGCAGGCUUAACACAUGCAAGUCGAGCGGAGAUGAGGUGCUUGCACCUUAUCUUAGCGGCGGACGGGUGAGUAAUGCUUAGGAAUCUGCCUAUUAGUGGGGGACAACAUUCCGAAAGGAAUGCUAAUACCGCAUACGUCCUACGAGAGAAAGCAGGGGAUCUUCGGACCUUGCGCUAAUAGAUGAGCCUAAGUCGGAUUAGCUAGUUGGUGGGGUAAAGGCCUACCAAGGCGACGAUCUGCAGCGGGUCUGAGAGGAUGAUCCGCCACACUGGGACUGAGACACGGCCCAGACUCCUACGGGAGGCAGCAGUGGGGAAUAUUGGACAAUGGGGGGAACCCUGAUCCAGCCAUGCCGCGUGUGUGAAGAAGGCCUUAUGGUUGUAAAGCACUUUAAGCGAGGAGGAGGCUACUGAGACUAAUACUCUUGGAUAGUGGACGAUACUCGCAGAAUAAGCACCGGCUAAUUCUGUGCCAGCCGCCGCGGUAACAC